CUCCUCAGCCAGUUCUGCUCACCUGUGAGUCUGAACCAAGAGCCCUGGAUGGUGAAGAGAAGAAGCUGUAGCAAAGGAUCCAGGAUUCCAGUCUAUAUUCCUGAGUCAGAAACUUAAAGAAGAACAAGAAGAAAGAUGAAUGCUUCUCUGCCUGUAGAGCUCAGAAGAGAUCAUUGGAUUUCAAAAAUUGGGAUGAAAAAUCUGUUGUGAAGUUUCAGGCAGGUGCUGGGAAACAACUUUGGAUUAUAGAAUCUAAACUGCAGACAAAUUUUCAAAUAGUGUUACGAUGGCAAGUCCUUCAUCUGCUGAUAAAGUCUUAGAAAACAUCAGAAAAUUCAUGAAGAGGAGAGACCUUAUAAAUAUCUGCUCACCAUGGAGCAUUAAAACAAAC
rnacentral:lncRNA from 1 species